rnacentral:rRNA from 1 species
UACAGAGGGGGCAAGCGUUGUUCGGAAUUACUGGGCGUAAAAGGCGCGUAGGCGGCCUGUUAAGUCGAACGUGAAAUCCCCGGGCUCAACCCGGGAACUGCGUCCGAUACUGGCAGGCUUGAAUCCGGGAGGGGGAUGUGGAAUUCCAGGUGUAGCGGUGAAAUGCGUAGAUAUCUGGAGGAACACCGGUGGCGAAGGCGGCAUCCUGGACUGGUAUUGACGCUGAGGCGCGAAAGCCAGGGGAGCAAACGGG